UACAGAGGGGCCAAGCGUUGUCCGGAUUUAUUGGGCGUAAAGAGCUCGUAGGCGGCUCGGUAAGUCGGGUGUGAAACCUCCAGGCUCAACCUGGAGACGCCACCCGAUACUGCUGUGGCUAGAGUCCGGUAGGGGAGCGUGGAAUUCCUGGUGUAGCGGUGAAAUGCGCAGAUAUCAGGAGGAACACCGGUGGCGAAGGCGGCUACCUGGACAGAAACUGACGCUGAGGCACGAAAGCUAGGGGAGCAAACAGG
rnacentral:rRNA from 1 species